rnacentral:rRNA from 1 species
AUUGAACGCUGGCGGCAGGCCUAACACAUGCAAGUCGAACGAGUGGCGGACGGGUGAGUAAUGUGUGGGAAACUGCCUGCUGGCGGGGGAUAACAACUGGAAACGGUAGCUAUUACCGCAUACCAUCGGAUGUGCCCACAGGGGAUUAGCUAGUGGGUGGGGUAAAGGCUCACCUAGGCGCCGAUCCCUAGCUGGGCUGAGAGGAUGACCAGCCACACUGGAACUUAGACACGGUCCAGACUCCUACGGGAGGCAGCAGUGGGGAAUAUUGCACAAUGGGCGAAAGCCUGAUGCAGCCAUGCCGCGUGUGUGAAGAAGGCCUUCGGGUUGUAAAGUACUUUCAGCGGGGAGGCGUUACCCGCAGAAGAAGCACCGGCUAACUCCGUGCCAGCAGCCGCGGUAAUUC